UUGUGACUAGCAUAAGAACCCAAAUAUCUGCCGUGUCCAUGCUUUCAUCCUUUCUCAUAAUAAAUCAUGAAUGAAUGCUUAAUGGUUGUUUUGAGGUUGAACAAAACUAUUUUGAAAGUCUCUUCAUUCCAUGAGUUUUAUAAUUAGAGUGGAAAAGGGUGUGUGUAUGUGUUUCUAUGGGGAGCAGAGACUGAUGUUGAAUAUCUCUGGCAACUUUUCUCAAUCUUAUUUCCUUUCUUCUCAUAUGUGUAUGAGUACACAUGUGGGUAUAAUGUGUAUGUGAAUGUUCACUAUGUGUAUGUUCACGCUCACAUUUGUGUUUGUAUAUGUGUGUGAGUACAAGCACAAGUGUCUGUGGAGACCACAGGGCAACUUCACUUGAGGCAGAGUUUCUUGCUUCUUCCUGCCGCACCUGCCAGGCUAGCCUGUGAACUUCCUGGGUUUCUCUUGUCUCCUCCCCUCAUCUUCCCAUGCUAGGAUUACACGGUCUAUUUUGCGAAUCCUAGGGACCAGAACUCUGGUCCUUAUGCUUGCAUUAUAAGUACUUUAUCCACUGAUCUGUUUCUCCAGCUCUCAGACCUUAACAUUUUUUAUUUUGAUUAUGAUCUAUAAGAAGGUUAUCAAUUUAGCUAUAAGCCCCAGUGGUCUUCCUGUUUUUUCGUUUCCUGCAGUAGGAUUAUAGACACAUGAGUGUUGUGCCUGGCUUCUGACAUGAAGACUUCAUGUUUCUGGAGCAAGUUCUUAAACAAAUCAGCCAUCUCCCUAACCCCAGUAAGAAAUAUCUGGAGGUAAAACUGAAACAUCACACUUUUUUUAAAGCUCAAUUCAAUUCACAAGGCAGCAAAUUGUGAAUUCUGAAGAAGCCAGAGUCAGCAAGGACCAAGAUUUGUCUACCUCUUUUGAGUUCUUGCUUGUGUUCCCUCCUACUUCAUGUCCAUUUCCCUCUUCCCAAAUGCCUUCCCUGUGUGUUCCAGUCUCCAGCAUAAGACAGGAAGAAGCAGCCAUGUAGAAAGUGCUUCAGCAGCACAUGGUUGUAUCAGGCUAGAUUCCUGUGACAAAUUGUCAGCUGCUAGUGCAUACAUUUAAUCAUUUAAUCAAUUCACUCAUUAGGGUGUGGGGGUUUACAUGCCAUGGUACACAUGUGCAAGUCAUACAACAUAUAGGAGUCAAUUUUCUUCUUCUACCAUGUAAGUUCCAACUCAAGUAAUCCAGCUUGUUGGCAAUCAGCUUCACCAACUGAACCAUUCUAUCACCAGCCUCUUUCUAUUUUGAAAUAGCCUUUGGCAUAGAACUUUUUCUGUUAUCUUAAAAGGUUAUUAUUAUUUGCUCUAAUUACAAAGUAGUAUUUGAAAACUAUUCAACUACCUUUCCCCCAAUUCUAAUAUCUUCCUGAAUCUUGCCCCCCACUUAAAGGAAACCUAAGGGUCUGAUGUACACACUGUGUAUGAUCUAAUAUAAAGUAGCCUUUCUGCAUCUUGACCCACUGUAUAAAACUGAAAUGCUCAAAUAAUGGAAUCCUAGCACAGAGUGAAAUGAUCAAACAAAGCCUGUGACCAAUGACCACAAGCAGCAGGACUUCACAAGAAGGAGAUGGUUAGUUGUAUAUCUGUAAAGACCUUAAAGAAGCCUGCAUAACAACCAUUGAGCAGAUCAGGCUGUUAGAAAGCACACUAGUGACCAUGCCCCCAUGGAACCACUGGGUAUCUUGUUAGGAACUGAGGAAAAGCCAUCUUGUUGGACUUGAAUAGCAGCUAGACUUUGGUGUACAGUUUGCACAACUCUAUCUUUCAAGACAAAGCCACCUUUAUCCUAGAUCAUUUCCUCUCUGUUCCUUCCACUUUCUUGGCAAUUUUAAGUGGCCCUUGGCCUAUUUUGGGUGUCCAUGAACUUACUUAUCAGUGUUUAGGAACUAGUUCCAGCUGGCUCCUUCUGUUUACUCUGACUUCUAGCUCUCUGGUAACUAGGUUCAGGGAUUUCCAUUCUUUUGUUUGACCCUUUGAAACACUGGUUCUUUAGAUGAUCCAAGACAAUAUAUAUCUGCAUGGUGUAGGAGGUCGUUCUAUGUGUUGCUUUCAUUGGUUGAAUAAAGAAACUGCCUUGGCCUUUUGAUAGGGCAGAAACUUAGGUAGGCAGGAAAGACAGAACAGAAUUCUGGGAGGAAGAAAGCAGGGUCAGAGAGAGCUGCCAUGGAGCCAGCAACCAGGUCAGAUGUGCUAAAUCUUUCCCGUUUCUAGGUCAGGUGGCUCUAUAUAAGCAGGAAAAUGAUAGAAUAAGAAGACAAAUUACUCAAGAAAAGAAGAGCUUUGGAAAUUCACAGUCAGAGAUGAAGAUGGAUGACCACUGAUUAGAUGCAAGCAGAACACCGCUACAGAAGCACAGAUCCCUGAUAGGGGAAAGAAACAGAAGGCACGUCCUAAAGGUGAGACUUUGGAACUAGGCCUCAAGGACACACAACAAGAACACCAUGUCUGAAUUGGAAAACAGGUUGCCUCCUGGCAUCACUGCAGCUUUUUUGGACUUGGACCUCCCAGCAUCCAGAACCGUCAAAAGCGAAGCUGCUGCUGUCUAUGAGCUUGCUCUCUUAUGAAAUUUGGUUUGAGCAGCCCCAAGAGUCUGAGACAAAGUAGCUACUGAAAGCCAGCUACUGAAAAGAAUGGGGAUUUUUAGCAGAUAGCAUCUUUUCCAAGUCCCAGAAAGACACAAGAUAGUAGAAGAGAGGCAUUCCCAGAGGCCAAUCUGGCAUUCAAGUAGAAGCACCUCAGAAAUUUCAUGCAAAUAAGAAGCAAAUUGGAGUCUGAUGCCAGAGCACGGCAGGAAUAAUAGUGAGCAUUGCUGGGCACAUUUGGAACCAGCUUCUGCACAUGUGCAUCCGCACCCUGCAACCGAAACAUGUUAUUCGGCUAGUACAGGGAGAGAGGGAACAGGCACUCAUUUGGUGAGCUGCCAGUGCUGGCCAUGGGCAAAGUCCUCUUGGAAAUGGUAUUUGGAAACUCCUUACGAAACCAUUUCAAUAUUUGGAAUUUGUCCCCCCAAAAAAUCCAUGAAGAAAAUUAUUUAUGAAAAACUAUACAAAUACAGACACAUCACCCUUUAUGUACAUUCAUAUAUAUGACAUGCAAAUAUUUUUAAAUGAAAAGUCCUUAAUAAUAUAGUUAGUUGCAUUAUAAUAAGGAUUUUAAAAUACAUAUGUUUUUAUG